rnacentral:rRNA from 1 species
CGUUAAUCGGAAUUACUGGGCGUAAAGCGCGCGUAGGCGGUUUGCUAAGUCAGAUGUGAAAUCCCCGGGCUUAACCUGGGAACUGCAUUUGAGACUGGCAGGCUAGAAUGUGGUAGAGGUGAGUGGAAUUCCAGGUGUAGCGGUGAAAUGCGUAGAGAUCUGGAGGAACAUCAGUGGCGAAGGCGACUCACUGGGCCAUUAUUGACGCUGAGGUGCGAAAGCGUGGGUAGCAAACAGGAUUAGAUACCCUGUUAGUCCACGCCCUAAACGAUGUCAACUAGGUGUAUGGGAAAUUUAUUUCUUGUGUAUCGAAGCUGACGCGAUAAGUUGACCGCCUGGGGAGUACGGUCGCAAGACUAAAACUCAAAUGAAUUGACGGGGGCCCGCACAAGCGGUGGAGCAUGUGGUUUAAUUCGAUGCAACGCGAAGAACCUUACCUGGCCUUGACAUGCACGGAACUUUCCAGAGAUGGAUUGGUGCCUUCGGGAACCGUGACACAGGUGCUGCAUGGCUGUCGUCAGCUCGUGUCGUGAGAUGUUGGGUUAAGUCCCGCAGCGAGCGCAACCCCUGUCCUUAGUUGCCAUCAUUAAGUUGGGCACUCUAAGGAGACUGCCGGUGACAAACCGGAGGAAGGUGGGGAUGACGUCAAGUCAUCAUGGCCCUUAUGGCCAGGGCUACACACGUGCUACAAUGGGCAGUACAAAGGGUUGCUAACUCGCGAGAGUAUGCUAAUCCCAUAAAGCUGUUCGUAGUCCGGAUCGCAGUCUGCAACUCGACUGCGUGAAGUCGGAAUCGCUAGUAAUCGCGGAUCAGAAUGCCGCGGUGAAUACGUUCCCGGGCCUUGUACACACCGCCCGUCACACCAUGGGAGUUGGCUGCAAAAGAAG